rnacentral:rRNA from 1 species
UACGUAGGGUGCGAGCGUUAAUCGGAAUUACUGGGCGUAAAGCGUGCGCAGGCGGUUUUGUAAGCCAGAUGUGAAAUCCCCGGGCUUAACCUGGGAAUGGCAUUUGGGACUGCAAGGCUGGAGUACGGCAGAGGAGACUGGAAUUCCUGGUGUAGCAGUGAAAUGCGUAGAGAUCAGGAGGAAUACCGAUGGCGAAGGCAGAUCUCUGGGCCGUAACUGACGCUGAGAAGCGAAAGCGUGGGGAGCGAACAGG